CCUACGCUGUUGGUUGUACAUCUUUGGCAGAUGCUAGAAGAUGUGAGUGGAUACUGAUCCUAGAAAGGGUUUCAAUGAGGAUUCCAUCCCAUUUUUACUCCACGAUCCUUCAGGCAGAACAGAUCCUUUAUGAACAGAACCAUCUUCUUGAACAAUCAACCCAGCUCCUACGUUGCUUCAGAUAUAUCCCAAUCCUGUUCAAAAGCAACUCUGGUACUGCUGUUACUGCUUUGAAUUCCUACAUAUUUAAGACUGUCAAAAACGCCUUCUGAAGCUCAAGAUAAUUUUUGGUAACACUGCCAAAAAAGGAGAUUUGACAAUUGAUAAUGCUCAAGUAGAACACUGUAUUUUUGACAGAUAAUUCAUUUCUGGAGCUCCAGUAAGUGUAUGGGUAUGAAAACAAUGGAAAGUGAAGGACAAUGAUGUUUCAGUACUAUGCUCCCUUGGUGUCUGUUCUUUAUCUGCUGGAAAAAAAAUAGAAA